CCCACUGCCCACCCUGCUGCCCGCCUUCCUGCCGCCCUGGGGGAGGGCACGAGCGGGAGGCCGUCGCACCCACGCCUGCCCGCGGCCGCGGGGGUGCGGGUGCCGCCAGCGCGGGGCUUCGCCUCCGCGUCCUGGGCUGCCGGGCCGGGGUGGCACUCGCCCCCGGGUUGUGGUGGGGACGCCCCCCAGACCUCUAUGAAUAAUGCAGUGUUAUUUAAUUAUGCAGUUUAAUUAAGUAUGCGCAUGCAGCCUCUACCAGCGGAUCGCCGCUGCUGCUGCUGCCUGCAUUAAAAGCCUUUUGCCGGUUGGGGUUCUGCACGCAGGCCUUGGACCCCGGAGCCACUUAGGGCACCGGCGAUGUUUUGGCACUGGUGAUGUUUUGGCCAACGCCGACCUCCCUCCAACCGCCGGCACAGCUGCGCGGGUGAUGUUCCAGCAGAAUAUUCCCAGUGAACUGACAAGCACAGGCUUUCUUCCCAGCAGUGGGCACCCUAAAGAGCCCUGGGUACAAGCUGCCAGACAGUGAUGGACCAGCAGUUCAAGGAAGGGGCCAGGAGAAGGGAAGCUGCUCUGGGAGGUCAGGAAAGGCCAACUAACCACCAAAACUUGGGAGCAUUUUGAUAUCCUGACGAGCCCCGGUGGCAGGGGUUUGAGGGCUCCUUUCUGCUCCCGGGAAGUCAGGGAUGGGUGCAGGGAUGUCGCCAGCCCAGGCCAGAAGCAAUAAAGCGCCUGGAGUGAUGCAGCAAAACAG